rnacentral:rRNA from 1 species
UACGAAGGGGGCUAGCGUUGUUCGGAAUUACUAGGCGUAAAGCGCGCGCAGGCGGUCUUCCAAGUCAGUGGUGAAAGCCCGGAGCUCAACUCCGGAACUGCCAUUGAAACUGUAAGACUUGAGGAUGAGAGAGGUGAGUGGAAUUCCCAGUGUAGAGGUGAAAUUCGUAGAUAUUGGGAAGAACACCGGUGGCGAAGGCGGCUCACUGGCUCAUAUCUGACGCUCAGGCGCGACAGCGUGGGGAUCAAACAGG